AUUGAACGCUGGCGGCAGGCCUAACACAUGCAAGUCGAGCGGAUGAGAAGAGCUUGCUCUUCGAUUCAGCGGCGGACGGGUGAGUAAUGCCUAGGAAUCUGCCUGGUAGUGGGGGACAACGUUUCGAAAGGAACGCUAAUACCGCAUACGUCCUACGGGAGAAAGCAGGGGACCUUCGGGCCUUGCGCUAUCAGAUGAGCCUAGGUCGGAUUAGCUAGUUGGUGAGGUAAUGGCUCACCAAGGCGACGAUCCGUAACUGGUCUGAGAGGAUGAUCAGUCACACUGGAACUGAGACACGGUCCAGACUCCUACGGGAGGCAGCAGUGGGGAAUAUUGGACAAUGGGCGAAAAGCCUGAUCCAGCCAUGCCGCGUGUGUGAAGAAAGGUCUUCGGAUUG
rnacentral:rRNA from 1 species